AACACAGCUUGCAGCCAUGUUCAUUCCUUCUUUAAAACCCUGGAUAUGCUAGAGGUAGAGCAGUUGACUGAAGCGCACUUCAUCCAAAAAAAAUUGUUGACUGAAGCGCAGCAACCAGGCCGGCCAAUGGCAUUGAGGCAGAUCGUACUUACCAAUCGUACAGCAACAUGGUAUGAACGCACAUUCCAUUCCAAUGUCGUCUGCCAAGGCUGGUCAAGGUAGCUCGGUGGGAUGUAUCAAAAUCUAAAUAGAUAAAUAGGCGUGCAAGCCUCGAGCCAGGGCACAUCAGCGAUCGAUCGAUCAAUUUUUCUUCUCCCUAUAGCUGGCUGGAGAUAGAGGAUGGCACUUCGUCCACGCUCGUCUCUGCGCUCCCUGAUGCUGCUCAUAUCGCACGGGAAGCCGCGACUGAGUUCUUUCUCCACCUCCGCCCCCGCUGCUGUUCCGCCCACUCCGGCCGCUCCUGAGGUUCAGCCUCCAGCCGCUCCAGCUCUGCCAGACUGCUCAAUUCACAAGUCUCCUGAUCCUAAACACCCAAUUCCUGAUUGUGGUUCAUAUACAAGCACCACUGAACCUGAAUGUGGCCCUGACGUGCCUCCGCUCGGCCCCGGCCGGGGCGAUA